rnacentral:lncRNA from 1 species
AGCAGCCUUCCUCUCUGCUAUAUUUUCUAUCAGGCUUUGCACAGACCUAACUACUAAGGGUAUAAGACACGGCAGGAGUAGACACAACAUUAAAAUCAGUAGGACUCCACCUACCACUGCCUUAAGCCCUCCAAACCACUCAUACCAGCUACCAAACCAACUACUUGGAUUGUACCCUUUCCAUACCUGAGUAGGCACAUGCGCUAGUUUAACCAUAUGGCUAGUAAGCUCAGCUAUUGCUUGCCCUUCGUCAUCUAUUUGAAGACAGCAAUUGCUCAGGUUAAACUUCCCACAUACACCUCCCUCUACUGCCAAAAGAUAAUCCAAGGCUAAUC